AUGAGACAAUACCGGUGGGGAGUUGAGAAAGGCAAGAAAAAGAUGACGUGGCUAAGUUGGGACAAGAUGAGACUCCCUAAGUCGAGAGGUGGUAUGGGAUUCUGGGAUAUGCGGGAUUUUAACCAAGCAUUGUUGGUUAAACAAGCUUGGCGUCUUUUGAACUCCCUGCUUAGUAUGUGUGCUCGCCUAUUAAGAGCUAAAUACUAUCCAAAUGGUAACCUGAUGGAUACAGUUUUUUCAGGCAACGCAUCGGUUGUGUGGAAGGGUAUUGAGUAUGGCCUGGAGCUGGUUAAAAAGGUAUCAUUUGGCGGGUUGGUGACGGUUCGUUGA
rnacentral:rRNA from 1 species